AGCAGCAGGAGGAAGGUCCGUCACACACGAGCGCGGCGGCUGCACGGUGCAGGACGCGCYGGCCCGCAGCUCCUUCCACCCCUCAGGGACCCCAGGAGCAUUUUUUGUAUAUAAAUAAAUGAUAACUAACAUCGUAGAAUAUAAAACUGACAGUCAAGGAUCUCCAGAGGGUGCCGAGGGCAGGACGGGACCGUAAGGCUUCGAGCACGACGAGGGGCUGCGGCGGCCGGCGGCGCUACCUGAAGGGGCUGCGGCCCCGCGCCCGGGGGACACUGUAAACAUGUUUGGUGUCUGAAUUUUGCCUCCUCUGACGGAGCCAGGAAAACCAGGAAAAUCGUGAUGCGGAUGUGCAGGGGCUGUUUUGUUCUGGAAAAGGCUUUAAAGGGACAGUGUCAGCGAUAAAGGUCCUGCUCUACAGUUGCUUCUCCGUGUUGGAUUGUACCACGGCAUCAGACGGGAGCGCCAAGAAGACGCC